ACGGAAAACCCACACACCGGUAGAAUGAUAAUACAUUGUAGCGAUAAUGUUUAAUGCACGGGGUGUAGAUAUUACGGCCGUUUAUUACACGUGUACAGAACCGUAGAAAAGGGGAGAGCAAGCAGUGCCUACGCCCCGGGCCCGAUACCCGGGAGGUCGCAAAAGUCCACUAACAACCUAUAAAUAUUACAGAAAUUAAUCAGCAAAAAAAAAACCACGGUUUUU